UGGUCAAGCUGUAAAGGGCGCAAGGGGAAUGCCUUGGCACUGAGAGCCGAUGAAGGACGCGACAAGCUGCG
rnacentral:rRNA from 1 species